rfam:Branchiostoma floridae genomic scaffold BRAFLscaffold_174, whole genome shotgun sequence.
ACCCCGGCCCUUUUCAGGGCCACCCAUAUCGUCCGAAAGAGGACUG